AUUGAACGCUGGCGGCAGGCCUAACACAUGCAAGUCGAACGGUAACAGAAAGCAGCUUGCUGCUUUGCUGACGAGUGGCGGACGGGUGAGUAAUGUCUGGGAAACUGCCCGAUGGAGGGGGAUAACUACUGGAAACGGUAGCUAAUACCGCAUAACGUCGCAAGACCAAAGAGGGGGACCUUCGGGCCUCUUGCCAUCGGAUGUGCCCAGAUGGGAUUAGCUAGUAGGUGGGGUAACGGCUCACCUAGGCGACGAUCCCUAGCUGGUCUGAGAGGAUGACCAGCCACACUGGAACUGAGACACGGUCCAGACUCCUACGGGAGGCAGCAGUGGGGAAUAUUGCACAAUGGGCGCAAGCCUGAUGCAGCCAUGCCGCGUGUAUGAAGAAGGCCUUCGGGUUGUAAAGUACUUUCAGCGGGGAGGAAGGGAGUAAAGUUAAUACCUUUGCUCAUUGACGUACCC
rnacentral:rRNA from 1 species